rfam:Mycobacterium arupense strain GTC1 Marup_contig000102, whole genome shotgun sequence.
ACGGAAGCCGGCAAGGCCAGGGUCGACCCGGAAGAGAAGGAUCGAUCUCCCGAGCCGCACUUCCCAGUACGGAGAGCGGUACCCACGCGGAGCCACAGCCGCGAAGAUGGCAGAAGUGUUGCGGGCCUGCGUAAUUGCGGAACGUGAUCGGUGUUAGCAGCCCUUUGGGUGGGGUUGCAGCCGAAGAACACCGCAGGAGCGCCGAGGCCACCCACGCAGCCCACGUUGGACGCUUGGUAACCGUGUACCGUACUAGCGGGCGGCGAGCCGAAUCCCUUCGGAUCGCCGCCCGCUUCGUACG